rfam:Neotoma lepida isolate 417 scaffold_49943, whole genome shotgun sequence.
GGGAAACAGAUGGAGGGGCCAGCCCCAGGCCCCGACAGAAUAGAUUUCUGGGGUA